UUUUGAAUUUGAUACUAUCAUUUUUUGUUUUAGUAUGGAGACUACGACAAAGAGUUUCACAAACCUGGAUUCCUGGCAAAUGACCUGCUGUUGCCUCAAAGGGUAAUUGAUCAGUAUCAGAUGACUGCGGACAUGUGGGAAGAAAGGAUCACAUCUUGGUAUGCCGAGCACAAGGAAAUGAGAAGAGAUGAAGCAGAGAUGGAGUAUCUGAAAAUAGCACAAGACUUGGAGAUGUAUGGUGUGAUGUACUUUGAAAUCAAGAACAGAAAAGGAACUGACUUGUGGCUUGGAAUCGAUGCCCCCGGCUUAAAAAUUU